rnacentral:rRNA from 1 species
GUCCACGCCGUAAACGAUGAGCACUAGGUGUCGCGGGUAUUGACCCCUGCGGUGCCGACGCUAACGCAUUAAGUGCUCCGCCUGGGGACUACGGCCGCAAGGUUAAAACUCAAAGGAAUUGACGGGGGCCCGCACAAGCGGUGGAGCAUGUGGUUCAAUUCGACGCAACGCGAAGAACCUUACCUGGGCUAGACAACGGAGGCCCGCCCCAGAGAUGGGGCUUUCCCUUCGGGGACUUCCGGUUCAGGUGCUGCAUGGCUGUCGU